rnacentral:rRNA from 1 species
UACGAAGGGUGCUAGCGUUAAUCGGAAUUACUGGGCGUAAAGCGUGCGCAGGCGGCUUUGCAAGACAGAUGUGAAAUCCCCGGGCUUAACCUGGGAACUGCAUUUGUGACUGCAUGGCUGGAGUGCGGCAGAGGGGGAUGGAAUUCCGCGUGUAGCAGUGAAAUGCGUAGAUAUGCGGAGGAACACCGAUGGCGAAGGCAAUCCCCUGGGCCUGCACUGACGCUCAUGCACGAAAGCGUGGGGAGCAAACAGG